rnacentral:rRNA from 1 species
CCUACGGGCUGCACCAGUGGGGAAUUUUCCGCAAUGGGCGAAAGCCUGACGGAGCAAUGCCGCGUGGAGGUAGAAGGCCCACGGGUCGUGAACUUCUUUUCCUGGAGAAGAAGCAAUGACGGUAUCUGGGGAAUAAGCAUCGGCUAACUUCGUGCCAGCAGCCGCGGUAAUACGAAGGGGGCUAGCGUUGCUCGGAAUGACUGGGCGUAAAGGGCGCGUAGGCGGUUUAUGCAGUCAGAUGUGAAAUCCCCGGGCUUAACCUGGGAACUGCAUUUGAGACGCAUAGACUAGAGGUCGAGAGAGGGUUGUGGAAUUCCCAGUGUAGAGGUGAAAUUCGUAGAUAUUGGGAAGAACACCGGUGGCGAAGGCGGCAACCUGGCUCGAUACUGACGCUGAGGCGCGAAAGCGUGGGGAGCAAACAGGAUUAGAUACCCUUGUAGUC